UUCCCUGUGCUGUACAGUAGUAGGUCCUUGUUACCUGUUUUACACAGAGUCGUGUGUAUAUGUCAGUCUCCACCCCUUAAUUUAUCUCUCGGCCAGAACCUAUUUGGAGGAGGGUCCCUCUGUUGGGAUUGAUAUAAUGUUUACAUCCUGAUGGGAUUGUGUUUAUGUGUUUCUCUGGAAGACCACAGAGGAAAGUGGCAUUUUCACCAUGUCACACCAAAGGGGCAGAGGGCCAGCCAGAAGUGUCCUUGUUGAUCUGGCCCUGUCACCUGCAGGAGCGGGUUUGUCAGCUUCCUCCCCUUUGUAUGCGAGCUGGAGGGGAGCACUCAGUGCAUACAGGUAGGGUCUCAGCACUGGGCUGUGCCCCACAUCCCGGAGCCGGGGGGCCCUUCUGCACGGAACCCCUCACUCACAUUAGUUCGAAGUCAGGGGGUCCUCGAUGUUUACUUUAUACUCUGGGUUUUAAUCUAAUACGAUUUUAUUUGUUGCUCAAGUUGUUCCAGCUCUGGCCAGUGGGAACUCCUUUGGUGGCCCCCUAUGUGCUGGUGACAUUGUAGGUCUUUUUCGGGGGGCGGGGGCACUUUGUUCGGUCCUGGGGCUACUCGGUUUCAGGCACAUCUCGUUUCCUGUCCGGGCUCCAAUCGGCUGUUUCUCAGAGGAGCUGGUCCCCAGCUUGGUGCCUUUCAGGAGAGUCUCUCAUCAGACCCGCGGCCCCGCCCCAGUCCGGAAAUGUUCUCUCCCAGUGGCGGGAUGAUCUUCUGAUGGUCUCUUCCCUGUGGGGCAGGCUCUGCUUUAAAGAUGCUCUGGAGACUUUCCGGGGAGCUUGCCUCCCUCCCACAAGGAACCUCCAGGGUUGGUCCUGGCUUUUCCUUGUGAGAACCUGAUGUGUGUCCCGGAGGCGAGGCCACGGGAUAACGAGGCGGCCGGACGCAGGUGCCCCUUAGCCUCACAGUGGUCCACACCCAGCUUCUAGCAGUUUGCUUAAAUUACCCUCGCCUGUUCCACCCAUUUCUAGGCUGGGGGAGUGGUAGAGGCUCCGCUCCCGUUGGAGGUCUCAGCUUACCAACCCCAGUUUGUGGUCUCCCCUGAGUUCGCAUCUGGGGUUUGCCCCCCACCUCAGUUCUUGGGUGGAGCCAAGAGGAGUCACUGAUGUUUGGUUUGUUAAGAUUUUUCGCGCUGUUAAGAAGAGGAGUCAGACUUUCAAGCUGUAUACCUGCAGCACCUGGACCAGAGUGCCUGGAUCAUAGUCCACAUCAGCAAAAUGUGUUUGCUUGACAAAAGAACAUGACCGCAGAAGUCCCUGUCACACAUUUCGAUGUAGUUUUUGCUUCAUUCACAUCUUGAGCAAUUAAGCUUCUCUUGAGGGAUGAAGAGUUAUGAAGUGAUCAGCCCCCAGGCAGACUCUGUUGAGGAGCAAGUGCUUUGAGAAUAAAGAAGAUUGAUCUCCGGAAAUACAUCUUCCCUUGUGCUUCCUAUCAUUUUUCUCUGCAGAAUGACAAGUUAAGAGUUCAUAGCAAAACAAACAGAAUAAAGAUUAUGACAUAUAAGAAUAAUACAAACACAAAUAUACAGAAUUUUACUAUAAUGUCUUGUUCAUUUAUGAUCCAUUUUCUUUUUUACAAAAUAACAGAAUAAAGUUGGAGAGUGCU